rnacentral:rRNA from 1 species
CAGCAGCCGCGGUAAUACCGAGGGUGCGAGCGUUAAUCGGAUUUACUGGGCGUAAAGCGUGCGUAGGCGGCUUCUUAAGUCGGAUGUGAAAUCCCUGAGCUUAACUUAGGAAUUGCAUUCGAUACUGGGAAGCUAGAGUAUGGGAGAGGAUGGUAGAAUUCCAGGUGUAGCGGUGAAAUGCGUAGAGAUCUGGAGGAAUACCGAUGGCUAAGGCAGCCAUCUGGCCUAAUACUGACGCUGAGGUACGAAAGCAUGGGGAGCAAACAGGAUUAGAUCCCCCGUAGUCCCUGUCUCUUAUACA